GGNUCACCUUAGUGGCGAACGGGUGAGGAACGCGUGGGUAUCUGCCCUAGAGUAAGGAAUAACCAUUGGAAACGGUGGCUAAUACUGUAUACGCCUUACGAGGGAAAGGCUUCGGCCGCUCUGGGAUGAGCCCGCGCCAGAUUAGCUUGUUGGUGGGGUAAUGGCCUACCAAGGCUACGAUCUGUAGCUGGUCUGAGAGGACGACCAGCCACACUGGGACUGAGACACGGCCCAGACUCCUAUGGGAGGCAGCAGUGGGGAAUAUUGGACAAUGGGGGAAACCCUGAUCCAGCAAUGCCGCGUGUGUGAUGAAGGUCUUAGGAUUGUAAAGCACUUUCGCCCGUGAAGAUGAUGACUGUAACGGGAGAAGAAGCCCCGGCUAACUCCGUGCCAGCAGCCGCGGUAAUACGGAGGGGGCUAGCGUUGUUCGGAAUUACUGGGCGUAAAGGGCGUGUAGGCGGUUUGUCUAGUCAGAGGUGAAAUCCCCAGGCUCAACCUGGGAACUGCCUUUGAAACUGACAGGCUAGAGACCGGAAGAGGGUAGUGGAAUUCCCAGUGUAGAGGUGAAAUUCGUUAAUAUUGGGAAGAACACCAGUGGCGAAGGCGACUACCUGGUCCGGAUCUGACGCUGAAGCGCGAAAGCGUGGGGAGCAAACAGGAUUAGAUACCCUGGUAGUCCACGCCGUAAACGAUGAGUGCUAGGCGUUGGGGGUCUU
rnacentral:rRNA from 1 species